AGAGGCGUAGGGCGCUGAGGCGGCGCGCCGUGGAGUCCCGCGUUCUCCUUGCCAGGACUGGGCUCUGGCUCCUCACCCGACGACGGGCUCUGCGCGCGGGCGUCCCGGGCGGCUUCCCGACGCCGGCCGCGAUCUCGCUGCGCGCGCGAACGCCGGCUUGGCCGGACCUUGGCCUCCAUGGCGGCGCCGCGGCGGUGACCUUGGCGCCCCGCGCCGCCUGCUACGCGGUGCCGCCGGGCUGCGAGGGCGCCGCGCGGGCUCGGGGCCGGGGCGGGCUCGGGACCGGGGCGGGCAUGCCGGGCGCGGGCUCUCAGCACCGGACGCCGCGCGGGCUAGGACCCCGGGUCCGGCGCAUCGGAGUGCGGCGGUCUCUCGGCGGCCCUAAACCAAGCCCUCGAGGACACGGCCCAUGGCGACCGGCGGGCAGCGGCAGAAGGCGACGGGUGGCGGAGCUUCUGAGCACCGGGACCGUGAGGCAGACACAGUAGUGGCAGCGGCCAGAGCGGAUAACAACUGACGCACUUCCGCCGGGCCGGAGUGCCAGAGGAAGCGGGCGCAGCUGGGGGAGGCUGACCCGUCGACUCCGCCCCACCCUGGCCCCGCCCUGACCCCGCCCUUCCGGACUAAAUGGCUCUGCGCUGAGCGGCCCCUCGCCCUUUCACGUUAAGCCCCGCCCCCGAAAGGGGGGAGCUUUCCCUUUGCUCCGCCCCUGCAACAGGCCACACCCGUUUGCGCACAGCUCUUUAGAAUUCCGACUCCCCGACCCCGUCAGACCACGCCCCAUUCUUCCCGGCUCCACCUCUCUCGUCUAAGCUUUCUCAGUUCCUUAAGCCCCGCCCUUGCCUUCCGGUCCUGCUCACCUGUGCAGGUCGCUGAGCCUAGUCAUGGUCAGAUCCCUCCUACUUCAGACCUCGUCUUAUUGACCACGCCCACUAGGCAAUUAGUGCUUACCUACAAGUAUUGCCCAGCCACCUGCGGCUAGUUUGUGGCGGUCAGCGCCGCCCCUUCCGCCCUUCACAUAGGUGGUGAUGAGUCUAUGCACCUACAGUAGCUUCCGGCAAACUGAGUGGAAGCACGUGAGAGAGUAGGUAGGUUGGUGCUGGGGGCUCACUGUGCUGAAGUCUUAGAAGCAGCGUGUACGUCAUCGUCCACCUGCAAGCCCUCAAGCUCAGUUUCACUCUGGUCCCCAUGUAAAAUUAGGUAGCGCCCUGAAAACCAAACCCUCCAGUCUCAAGUAGGCUUUCCUUAGAGACCUGCCAACACUAGUCUAAGGACUUGGGGACCGCCGAUAGGAAGUACAAAACUAGACAAAACCGUGGGUUUCCUCAGCAACUUCCCCAGUUGGGAUGCCCUGGAGCUGGGGCACGAAGUCUCAGCCGUUCCUCCAGUGGGAACAUUUGACAUGAAGAGAAGGGAGGUGUCACAGCUUGGGCAUUGGGCAACUGAGUGAAAAGUGGCAUUGAGUCAUGCCUACAUCUGGGCAGCAGAGGCCCUGAAAGGAAGCAGACACGACUGAAGAAUGCCCCUGGACAGGACCUCAAGUGCACAUUUUCUGGCUCCUGAGAUGGCCACAGGCUCUCUGCCAAGGUGUCCCUUGGGGCAUCUGGGAACGUGGCCUACCAUUCACAAGUGUGCUCUUUCACUUAACAACACGGGGCCCAACACACCUGCCAGCCUACCUGGGGGGGGGGGGUCGGUCCUCCCUCUUCCCAUUCUCCCAUUCCAGAUUUUAUUACAGAGUCACUCAGAGCUAGCAUCUAACUAGGUAAAGAACCCAGUUGGAAAGACGCAGAACCAAGGCAGCUCCUCAUUCCUGCUAACUGUUCUCUUUUAGACACCUCCUCCUGAGACUACCCCACUCCCAGCUUGUGGGGAGUUUCACUCUAGGUCAACCCUUUUCCACUCCAAGAACAAGAGCUGAGACCCGAUUUUUGAAGUUUUCAACAGAAAUAAAAGGUAUCCUUGCUUACCAG
ensembl:antisense